rnacentral:misc_RNA from 1 species
GGCCUGUUAGCUCAGUUGGU